GGCAAAUAAAUGCAUUUGGCAUGUUAAUGCUGAGUCUGAAGCAUAUUUCUGUCCAUAUGGGACAACCAAGUUUUAAAAUACUACUUGCCCUAUACUAAUCAUAGCCAAUGAAAAUGGAAUUUUUUUUUUGAGACAGAGUCUCACUUUGUCACCAGGCUGGAGUGCAAUGGCACGAUCUCGGCUCACUGCAACCCCUGCCUCCCAGGUUCAAGCG
rnacentral:lncRNA from 1 species